rnacentral:rRNA from 1 species
AGUGAACGCUGGCGGUAGGCCUAACACAUGCAAGUCGAACGGCAGCACAGUAAGAGCUUGCUCUUACUGGUGGCGAGUGGCGGACGGGUGAGGAAUACAUCGGCAUCUACUUUUUCGUGGGGGAUAACGUAGGGAAACUUACGCUACUACCGCAUACGACCUACGGGUGAAAGCAGGGGAUCUUCGCACCUUGCGCGAUUGAAUGAGCCGAUGUCGGAUUAGCUAGUUGGCGGGGUAAAGGCCCACCAAGGCGACGAUCCGUAGCUGGUCUGAGAGGAUGAUCAGCCACACUGGAACUGAGACACGGUCCAGACUCCUACGGGAGGCAGCAGUGGGGAAUAUUGGACAAUGGGCGCAAGCCUGAUCCAGCCAUACCGCGUGGGUGAAGAAGGCCUUCGGGUUGUAAAGCCCUUUUGUUGGGAAAGAAAAGCAGCAGGUUAAUACCCCGCUGUUCUGACGGUACCCAAAGAAUAAGCACCGGCUAACUUCGUG